rnacentral:misc_RNA from 1 species
AAAUUAUUAAAGCAGGAGAAACAAGCCUACAAAAUCAGCAGAGCGAUAAGGCCCAAUAUCAGAUAAAAGCCUAUGACCUACAUGUUCUAUGUUCCUUGCAUGUAUAAACCUCAAGCAGCGGCCAACAGUAGAUAAAAUAAUGAUUAAUCCCUCCAAGGAUCAGCCUCCUCCCUCACCUCCGAGGGCUCGACCACCUCAGCCUCUGCCACUUCGGAGGCGCCUGCUUCAGUGACAGUCUCUGAACCGGCUUGUUCAGCAGACUCGCCAGAUUCCGGUUUUCCCCAUCGACCGCCAAGGGCGAUCGCCAUCAUCUCGUAAAUUUUGUUGCCCAUCUCAGCAGGGCUGUCAGGAGUAAAUCCACUUGAGAUCAAAGCUGUAUCAUACAACAAGUCGACAGCCCUCUUAGCUUCCCCGCUGCUUGGAUCAUUUUUGCAUGCAGCAUUCAAGUCCUUGAUGAUAGGGUGAUCUGGAUUGACUUCCAGAAUUCUUCUCCCUCUCAUGAAUUCCAAGCUUGAAGUGUCCCCAAGAGUCUGUGCUUUCAUGAGCCUCUCCAUGUUAGCAGACCAUCCAAAUUUGCCAGAGACAAGCACACAAGGUGAAGAACUAAGACGUUUCGAGACUUGGACUUUUGCAACCUUAUCACCAAGUUGUUGUUUUAUCCAAUCACAUAAGAGAUUGUACUCCUGCUCAUUUUCUCUUUCUUUCACCUCAUCCUCAUCACCCAAAUCUAGGUCUUCUUUGCUAAUAUCAACAAACUUCUUUUCUUUAUAGGUCUGUAAGUUCUGGAUGGCAACUUCAUCAAU